GAUGAACGCUAGCGGCAGGCCUAACACAUGCAAGUCGAGGGGCAGCACAGGUAGCAAUACUGGGUGGCGACCGGCGGAUGGGUGCGUAACGCGUAUGCAACCUACCAUUGAUUGGGGCAUAGCCCGAAGAAAUUCGGAUUAAUACUCCAUAAUAUUCAUCAAAGGCAUCUUUUAUGAAUUAAAGCUUUUGCGAUCAAUGAUGGGCAUGCGUGACAUUAGUUAGUUGGUGAGGUAACGGCUCACCAAAACGAUGAUGUCUAGGGGUUCUGAGAGGAUUAUCCCCCACACUGGUACUGAGACACGGACCAGACUCCUACGGGAGGCAGCAGUGAGGAAUAUUAGAAAUGGACGAAAGUCUGAUCUAGCGACACCGCGUGUGCGAUGAAGGCCUUCGGGUUGUAAAGCACUUUUUGGAAGGAAUAGGAAGGAAGGUACUUCCAGAAUAAGUCUCGGCUAACUACGUG
rnacentral:rRNA from 1 species